CCGGUUGGGUUCAGUCUGUCACCUGACUGCUCUCCAGAGACCAUGGAGCCUUUCAGAAGGGCCCAGCCCUGGGGGAUCUACGACCCUUGGUUCCCUUCAAGAAAGCUCAGACAGCGAAGGAAGAAAAGGGCAGGGCAGCCUAUGAGAGAGAGAAGGCAGAGAAAAAGGAAAGGAGAUGGGAGGAAAGGGAACGCCUUCUUUAGAACUCAGGAAAAACAACAUCAGAAGUGGGCAUUUCUCCCUGUAUAAUCUCACAGUAUGACCAGGAGAAAAGCUGUUACAAUAGAGAGCAAUUGUGAGCAUCCAAUGAAAAUGUACUCAAAAUAACUGGAAGAAGAUGCAUGGUAUGAUCAGGGUUGAGCCUGUAAUGUAUUAUUAAUCAUUUCUAUUAGCAAUAUACUCAUGAACUUUUUCUAUUGCUCAGCCCUGGACAUGGCCUAGCUCUUUCUACCAAAGCAAAUAUGACGUACUGGUGACUGACUGAAGUAGCAUAUUAAUAGUUGAAAAGCAAAACACAGCUCCUUAGCAAUUUAGAAGUUUUGAAAAACCCAUUGUUCUCCCUAAGGACACAUACUUCAGUGGCCUCUAAAUUUUAAAAUGAAAUUCUUCAGGGAGAUACAAAUACUUGUGACUUUUUUCUUAUGUCUCUAAGACAGUUAAAUUUUAAAAGGGGAAUGAAUUCCUAAGUAAAACCUGCCUUGAGUACAACUUACACUGCUCUGAAAACUGGAGGGGUAUUAUUGCAAAAAGGAUUGAUUUGUGUGUGUGUGUGUGCAUGUGUGUGUGUGUUUAGCAAAUGUUUUGUAAUGAUUAAGAACAUUGAUGGGUAUUCGUGUCAAAUAGAUGGGCACCAAGUUUUGUUUGUGCCACAUAAUGAGCUCUGUGACUCUGAGCAAUUUAUGUAAUUCUCUGUGCCUCACAGUUUUCUUAUCCUGAAAUGGAGAGAAUAAUAAUGCCAAGUUAAUUGAGCUAUAAAUGGUAAUAAUAACAAACCUGUAUUAAUGGCUUACUAUGUGCCAGACAGUAUUCAAAUACUCUGCUAGUAAAUUACUUAGCAUUUUGUCUGGAGCAUAAUAAGACCUGCAUGUUAGCUUUUUAGUAUUAGUAUUAUUACUACCAAAGGGCUGGCAGAUGCAUCAAAGAAGUUUGCAGCCAACUGGGAGUUGUACCAAAUGCACAGAGAACAAGUUAGUGAAAGACCAGGUGAUGCAUCCAAAGAUGUAACAUGUUGGAGAUUUCUGAAAGGCUGCUAAGUAGGAAAUCAAAAUCUAAUGAGGUUAAUUAGGAAAGACUUUUUUUUUUUUUUUACAGAGGUGAAAUUUCAGAGUUCAGAACUUAAUUGGAAUGGGCUUGAAGUGGUAGUUCUAAAGAAUAUAGGGAGUUGUAAGUAAGAAAAAAGUAUCAUGUAAAAUCUGGAGGUGAGUGCAAGCACUGAGGUGCAGGAGUGGGGGCCAUUGUUAGGAUGUAAGGGAAAGGUGGAGAAACCCAGGCUGCCUGCCUUCUUCCUCCCAAUGUAAGUUUUACAGUGUGUUAGAGCAAUCCUCUCAGAUAGGUUUGGUAUGGGUACACUUCAAGUUUUUUUAGACUUGCAGCAACUAUCUAGAGACAGCAAGUCAAUGGAAAGAUUCUUUUGGUCAAUGACUAUUUAUAGGAAAAGCAGAAGUUUGUAGAUAUUGUCAGAAAGGGAUGUGUAUUUCAAGGUGGUAAAGCUAAUCCCAAAGGCUAAACUUCACC
rnacentral:lncRNA from 10 species